UUGAUUUUUCUUUCUUUCUUUUGAGGUGUUUCCAGAUAAAGGAGGAGGAACUAUACUUCCACACGAGUAUUAUAAUCACUGGAAAGGAAGACACAGCACUGAAUUGAGAGAAUUUUCUGUAUUGACUAAUAAGAAAACAGAAAUGAGGCACAGAUCUUUGUAGAAAGCCACAGACAGUGGAGGAAGUCUCAGUGAGGAAUAAAACCCUUCAGCCAAGGAGAACCUGCUAACAAGGAGAUUAAGUCAAUCAUUGACCUUCCCCUAAUAGCCAGUCUUUCAGUGAACUUCACAUCUUUGUAAGCAAUAAGACCAAUAACCGAUGAGGGAUUUUAUUAUUAA